rnacentral:rRNA from 1 species
AUUAAACUGAAGAGUUUGAUCCUGGCUCAGAUUGAACGCUGGUGGCAUGCUUAACACAUGCAAGUCGAACGGUAACAGGUCUUAGGAUGCUGACGAGUGGCGGACGGGUGAGUAACGCGUAGGAAUCUGCCCAUUUGAGGGGGAUACCAGUUGGAAACGACUGUUAAUACCGCAUAAUAUCUGUGGAUUAAAGGUGGCUUUCGGGCUGUCGCAGAUGGAUGAGCCUGCGUUGGAUUAGCUAGUUGGUGGGGUAAGGGCCCACCAAGGCUACGAUCCAUAGCUGAUUUGAGAGGAUGAUCAGCCACAUUGGGACUGAGACACGGCCCAAACUCCUACGGGAGGCAGCAGUGGGGAAUAUUGGACAAUGGGGGCAACCCUGAUCCAGCAAUGCCAUGUGUGUGAAGAAGGCCCUAGGGUUGUAAAGCACUUUAGUUGGGGAGGAAAGCCUCAAGGUUAAUAGCCUUGGGGGAGGACGUUACCCAAAGAAUAAGCACCGGCUAACUCCGUGCCAGCAGCCGCGGUAAUACGGGGGGUGCAAGCGUUAAUCGGAAUUACUGGGCGUAAAGGGUCUGUAGGUGGUUUGUUAAGUCAGAUGUGAAAGCCCAGGGCUCAACCUUGGAACUGCAUUUGAUACUGGCAAACUAGAGUACGGUAGAGGAAUGGGGAAUUUCUGGUGUAGCGGUGAAAUGCGUAGAGAUCAGAAGGAACACCAAUGGCGAAGGCAACAUUCUGGACCGAUACUGACACUGAGGGACGAAAGCGUGGGGAUCAAACAGGAUUAGAUACCCUGGUAGUCCACGCUGUAAACGAUGAGUACUAGCUGUUGGAGUCGGUGUAAAGGCUCUAGUGGCGCAGCUAACGCGAUAAGUACUCCGCCUGGGGACUACGGCCGCAAGGCUAAAACUCAAAGGAAUUGACGGGGACCCGCACAAGCGGUGGAGCAUGUGGUUUAAUUCGAUGCAACGCGAAGAACCUUACCUGGUCUUGACAUCCUGCGAACUUUCUAG